AUUGAACGCUGGCGGCAGGCCUAACACAUGCAAGUCGAGCGGAAACGAUCCUAGCUUGCUAGGAGGCGUCGAGCGGCGGACGGGUGAGUAAUGCAUAGGAAUCUGCCCGAUAGUGGGGGAUAACCUGGGGAAACUCAGGCUAAUACCGCAUACGUCCUACGGGAGAAAGCAGGGGAUCUUCGGACCUUGCGCUAUCGGAUGAGCCUAUGUCGGAUUAGCUUGUUGGUGAGGUAAUGGCUCACCAAGGCGACGAUCCGUAGCUGGUCUGAGAGGAUGAUCAGCCACAUCGGGACUGAGACACGGCCCGAACUCCUACGGGAGGCAGCAGUGGGGAAUAUUGGACAAUGGGCGAAAGCCUGAUCCAGCCAUGCCGCGUGUGUGAAGAAGGCUUUCGGGUUGUAAAGCACUUUCAGUGAGGAAGAAAGCCUUGGGGCUAAUACCCCCAAGGGACGACAUCACUCACAGAAGAAGCACCGGCUAACUCCGUGCCAGCAGCCGCGGUAAUACGGAGGGUGCGAGCGUUAAUCGGAAUUACUGGGCGUAAAGCGCGCGUAGGCGGCUUGAUAAGCCGGUUGUGAAAGCCCCGGGCUCAACCUGGGAACGGCAUCCGGAACUGUCAGGCUAGAGUGCAGGAGAGGAAGGUAGAAUUCCCGGUGUAGCGGUGAAAUGCGUAGAGAUCGGGAGGAAUACCAGUGGCGAAGGCGGCCUUCUGGACUGACACUGAC
rnacentral:rRNA from 1 species